CAUCUCCACUGAUUAUACCAGCCCAGCCUUGACCCUGCAGCUGGGAAAGGAGCCCCAGCCCCAGGAUCUCCAGGUGAUCCCAUUCAGUGAUCAAGACAGAAGACAGACACCUAACCAUGGAGACUGUGCUCAGCUGGAUUUUCCUUGUUGCUAUUUUAAAAGGUGUCCAGGGUGAGGUGCAGCUGGUGGAGUCUGGGGGAGACCUGGUGAACCCUGGGGGGUCCUUGAGACUCUCCUGUGUGGCCUCUGGUUUCACCUUCAGUAGCAACGACAUGGACUGGGUCCGCCAGGCUCCAGGGAAGGGGCUGCAGUGGCUCACACGGAUUAGCAAUGAUGGAAGGAGCACAGGCUACGCAGAUGCUGUGAAGGGCCGAUUCACCAUCUCCAGAGACAACGCCAAGAACACGCUGUAUCUGCAGAUGAACAGCCUGAGAGCUGAGGACACAGCCGUGUAUUACUGUGCGAAGGACACAGCCUCUGAGGGUGAUCAGAAUGAUUUAAUAACUGUCAUGUUCCAGGAAGGAGACAAGCUCACAGACCCUGAUCCAGCAUCUUAA